rnacentral:rRNA from 1 species
AGUGAACGCUGGCGGUAGGCCUAACGCAUGCAAGUCGAACGGCAGCACAGUAAGAGCUUGCUCUUACGGGUGGCGAGUGGCGGACGGGUGAGGAAUACAUCGGAAUCUACUUUUUCGUGGGGGAUAACGUAGGGAAACUUACGCUAAUACCGCAUACGACCUACGGGUGAAAGCAGGGGAUCUUCGGACCUUGCGCGAUUGAAUGAGCCGAUGUCGGAUUAGCUAGUUGGCGGGGUAAAGGCCCACCAAGGCGACGAUCCGUAGCUGGUCUGAGAGGAUGAUAAGCCACACUGGAACUGAGACACGGUCCAGACUCCUACGGGAGGCAGCAGUGGGGAAUAUUGGACAAUGGGCGCAAGCCUGAUCCAGCCAUACCGCGUGGGUGAAGAAGGCCUUCGGGUUGUAAAGCCCUUUUGUUGGGAAAGAAAAGCAGCAGGUUAAUACCCCGCUGUUCUGACGGUACCCAAAGAAUAAGCACCGGCUAACUUCGUG